rnacentral:rRNA from 1 species
CCCUGCCAUUUGUACACACCGCCCGUCGCACCUACCGAUUGGAUGGUCCGGUGAAGAGCAUGGAUAGUGGCGACUUGCCUUCGGGCAGACGCCACUAGAAGUGUUCUAAACCUUAUCAUCUAGAGGAAGGUGAAGUCGUAACAAGGUUUCCGU